rnacentral:lncRNA from 1 species
CACAAUGCCAUUGUCAUCCAAAGAAUGCAGUGCUUUCCUGCUCUGCACAAAUAUUUUGUACAGUGCGUUUUCUGUGCUCUCCAGAGGAGACACUGUCUGGAUCCUUGCUCUGAGUGCCCCCAGGAGCAAUGCUGACUAAUACUCCCAUUUCUCUCCUCAUGUUCCCUCAAGGUCCCAGACUUAUUUAUAUACUCCGUACAAAGAGCUUGGAGUCAAGGUUGGUGAAGAGUGGAUUUCCUCAGAACAACACGUGCACUGAAGGGUGAGGAAAUGGCAAAUUUAAUCUCUCGAGGUACAAUUCACUGAGGUCACGUCACUGGAGCCAGCUCAUGGUGAAGGGUCUGGUGCACAGCACUCAUCUUAGACAUAUAUAGGCAACAGCAUGGCUGGACAAUUCAACCCUCUACCUCAGAUACGACCUUGGGAUAACAUCCUCUGGAGAGGCCUCUCUCACUGAAGUGAUGACACCCAGCUCAGAUAGAGACCUCUGUGGGCACAGUGAGCCCUGCAGAGCCACUUUGAACCACCAGCCAUGAUCCUGUCCUCUGUGCACAGCUCUGUGGUCAAGUCUGCACUGUGGAGCCUGGAAAUGAACGUACCGGUCCUCUCUGCAGCAAAUUCCAGCUCCCGUUGGUCCUCCAGCAUCCUGACUUACAGAUGCACUUCAGAGAGAGCAGGAAAUCCAACACCACCAGAUAAACACAAGGGGAGGAUGAACGCCAGCUCUUCUCCUGGGCUGCCCUUGUUUUUCUUGCUCCUGUUUUCAGCUUUAUCCAGGGUUAAUCACCAACAGUUCCGAAUUCCACCUGCGAUGAGGGGAAAGGGAAAUGAGCAGGAGGGCUUUGAUUCAGCACCAGAGCCCUGCAUGCUGCCUUCAACCCCUUGCUGCUUCAUUAGUUGCUUUUCCAUGUUGGUAGACAGAGGCUGCAGGAGGGACAUGAGCGCUGCCAAGGCCAAGAACCAGUGCCUUUAUUCGGAGCACAGAAAUGCGCUUUGCAUUGUUCUCAUUUCCCCUCAUAUGAAUAAUAAAAGCUGUUUGACAGCAUAA